GACAGAGGGUGCAAACGUUGUUCGGAAUUACUGGGCGUAAAGCGCGUGUAGGCGGCUCGGAAAGUCGGGUGUGAAAGCCCUGGGCUCAACCCAGGAAGUGCAUUCGAAACUUCCGAGCUGGAGUCCUGGAGAGGAAGGCGGAAUUCUCGGUGUAGAGGUGAAAUUCGUAGAUAUCGAGAGGAACACCGGUGGCGAAGGCGGCCUUCUGGACAGUGACUGACGUUGAGACGCGAAAGCGUGGGGAGCAAACAGG
rnacentral:rRNA from 1 species